AACGCUGGCGGCGUGCCUAAUACAUGCAAGUCGAGCGAACGGACGAGAAGCUUGCUUCUCUGAUGUUAGCGGCGGACGGGUGAGUAACACGUGGAUAACCUACCUAUAAGACUGGGAUAACUUCGGGAAACCGGAGCUAAUACCGGAUAAUAUUUUGAACCGCAUGGUUCAAAAGUGAAAGACGGUCUUGCUGUCACUUAUAGAUGGAUCCGCGCUGCAUUAGCUAGUUGGUAAGGUAACGGCUUACCAAGGCAACGAUGCAUAGCCGACCUGAGAGGGUGAUCGGCCACACUGGAACUGAGACACGGUCCAGACUCCUACGGGAGGCAGCAGUAGGGAAUCUUCCGCAAUGGGCGAAAGCCUGACGGAGCAACGCCGCGUGAGUGAUGAAGGUCUUCGGAUCGUAAAACUCUGUUAUUAGGGAAGAACAUAUGUGUAAGUAACUGUGCACAUCUUGACGGUACCUAAUCAGAAAGCCACGGCUAACUACGUGCCAGCAGCCGCGGUAAUACGUAGGUGGCAAGCGUUAUCCGGAAUUAUUGGGCGUAAAGCGCGCGUAGGCGGUUUUUUAAGUCUGAUGUGAAAGCCCACGGCUCAACCGUGGAGGGUCAUUGGAAACUGGAAAACUUGAGUGCAGAAGAGGAAAGUGGAAUUCCAUGUGUAGCGGUGAAAUGCGCAGAGAUAUGGAGGAACACCAGUGGCGAAGGCGACUUUCUGGUCUGUAACUGACGCUGAUGUGCGAAAGCGUGGGGAUCAAACAGGAUUAGAUACCCUGGUAGUCCACGCCGUAAACGAUGAGUGCUAAGUGUUAGGGGGUUUCCGCCCCUUAGUGCUGCAGCUAACGCAUUAAGCACUCCGCCUGGGGAGUACGACCGCAAGGUUGAAACUCAAAGGAAUUGACGGGGACCCGCACAAGCGGUGGAGCAUGUGGUUUAAUUCGAAGCAACGCGAAGAACCUUACCAAAUCUUGACAUCCUUUGACAACUCUAGAGAUAGAGCCUUCCCCUUCGGGGGACAAAGUGACAGGUGGUGCAUGGUUGUCGUCAGCUCGUGUCGUGAGAUGUUGGGUUAAGUCCCGCAACGAGCGCAACCCUUAAGCUUAGUUGCCAUCAUUAAGUUGGGCACUCUAAGUUGACUGCCGGUGACAAACCGGAGGAAGGUGGGGAUGACGUCAAAUCAUCAUGCCCCUUAUGAUUUGGGCUACACACGUGCUACAAUGGACAAUACAAAGGGCAGCGAAACCGCGAGGUCAAGCAAAUCCCAUAAAGUUGUUCUCAGUUCGGAUUGUAGUCUGCAACUCGACUACAUGAAGCUGGAAUCGCUAGUAAUCGUAGAUCAGCAUGCUACGGUGAAUACGUUCCCGGGUCUUGUACACACCGCCCGUCACACCACGAGAGUUUGUAACACCCGAAGCCGGUGGAGUAACCUUUUAGGAGCUAGCCGUCGAAGGUGGGACAAAUGAUUGGGGUGAAGUCGUAACAAGGUAGCCGUAUCGGAAGGUGCGGCUGGAUCACCUCCUUUCU
rnacentral:rRNA from 1 species